rnacentral:lncRNA from 1 species
AGGCAGCCCAGAGGCCACCGGCACAGGGUGGUGGCCCCCAGAUCAUACAGCAGUGGACACAGGGGAAGCAAACCUGAGUGAGGACACAAGAGCCUGGUCCGGCUCCGCUGCACAGGUGGAGAUGAAGAGAGUCCUUCCAUCCAUCUGCUGGACCUGCUGGGCCUCAGGGCUUUCUCUGAAGUGGUAGGGGGAAGAUGUCACAGAGGAAAUGUAAAGAAAAGUCUACCUCGGCAGUCUACAGCGUGGUGGAUAAAAAAAGAGCAGGAAGAGUCUGGCGAGGCGAUCAGCCUGAUGUAGUACCUGAGGAAGGCAAGAAAGGAUAUAAAGAAAAUAAGAAACAACACUUUCUCUGCACAUCCAAAUUGUGGCAAGGAUUUUUGCAGAUUGCCACCAGUUCACUGAGAGGAGUCAUUGAAAACAUGGCAUUGAGGACAGAGACUGCCACUUCAGAAUUUUCUACAUCCAACUGCUGAAGCCACUCGAAGAUAUUUCCCUCAGAGAACCAUAACCAGCUUUGGAGAAGAUGCUUCCACAUAGCUUGUUUCACAGCAUCUCAUCUCUCAUUAAAACCUUGUUGAGGGAGCAUUACUGUCUGAGCAAUGGACAUAGCUCUCAUACGAACCUUUUCAGCUAACACCGGAUAAGCCAGCUUUCUGACAGCCUCUUUCACAUCCUUGGUGCACCCUACAAUUUUUGGCAAAGUCUUUGCUGAUGGUGCAAUACAUGAUAACACUGCCUGUCUAAGUUCUGGAUUCAAAUCAAUCAUUUUCGAUCAAAGUAGCAUAUGCAUUAACCACUGGGCAUUCAUCAUCCUUUGGAUCCUGAAGUCGUGAAAGCGCCAGAACUGCCUGUAUUCUCACAUUUGGAAUCUUAUCUUUCAGUCUAAUAAGCAUGGCUUCAUUAAUUUUGUCAAACACACCAUCAUCAAUCUGAGCUUCUUCUGGCAUACUUCUCAAAAGCUUGUUUAUGCAGCUCCUGGUUCUUGAACUAACGUAGGCAUCAGCACAGCUGAUUCUCAUUCAGGAGAAGACAGUGCUGUGCCCAGGGGCCCCUGAGCCAUUGCCCAGCUUUCCAGCUUUCCAGGAAGUCUGCACUGGAGAAGCAUUCAACCUCCUCUGAGCUAACAUUUUCAUGUGCACACGUGAUUAUGAGUGUGAUACAGACAUUAUUUUACUUGUGUAACUAAUUUUUAAAUCAGACUAAUAAAAAAAGUUAUCAGUCUA